UAUGGUGUAGCUGAGUGGUAAAGUGCUUGCUGACCAAGCACAAGGCCCUGGGUUGAAACCCCAGCACUACAA
rnacentral:tRNA from 1 species